rnacentral:rRNA from 1 species
GGACGGGUGAGUAACGCGUGGGUAACCUGCCUUGUACUGGGGGACGAACAGUUAGAAAUGACUGCUAAUACCGCAUAAGCGCACAGUAUCGCAUGAUACAGUGUGAAAAACUCCGGUGGUACAAGAUGGACCCGCGUCUGAUUAGCCAGUUGGUAAGGUAACGGCUUACCAAGGCGACGAUCAGUAGCCGACCUGAGAGGGUGACCGGCCACAUUGGGACUGAGACACGGCCCAAACUCCUACGGGAGGCAGCAUG